GACAGAGGAGGCAAGCGUUAUCCGGAAUUACUGGGCGUAAAGCGUUCGUAGGUGGUUUGACAAGUCUGGGGUUAAAGCCCGGAGCCCAACCCCGGAUCUGCCCUGGAAACUGUCAGACUUGAGUAAGGUAGUGGUUGCGGGAAUUCCCGGUGUAGCAGUGAAAUGCGUAGAUAUCGGGAAGAACACCAGCGGCGAAAGCGCGCAACUGGGCCAUUACUGACACUGAGGCACGAAAGCUAGGGGAGCGAAUGGG
rnacentral:rRNA from 1 species